AACGAACGCUGGCGGCAGGCUUAACACAUGCAAGUCGAACGCACCGCAAGGUGAGUGGCAGACGGGUGAGUAACACGUGGGCAACCUACCCUCAACUCUGGGAUAACUUCGGGAAACCGGAGCUAAUACCGGAUAUGACCUUGUUGGACAUCCUUCGAGGUGGAAAGAAUUUCGGUUGAGGAUGGGCCCGCGGCCUAUCAGCUUGUUGGUGGGGUAAUGGCCUACCAAGGCGACGACGGGUAGCCGGCCUGAGAGGGCGACCGGCCACACUGGGACUGAGACACGGCCCAGACUCCUACGGGAGGCAGCAGUGGGGAAUAUUGCGCAAUGGGCGAAAGCCUGACGCAGCGACGCCGCGUGAGGGACGAAGACC
rnacentral:rRNA from 1 species